CAGACCAAAUUAGUACACUUGAAAUACUGCACAAUAGCAUUUUCAUCGCAACGAGCCAACGACUCCGACACCAUAGCAUUCACUCUCUUCGACACAGCCUCUCUCGCUCUCUCGACGACUCUCCUAAAACAAACUCCCACCCCACCUCUACGGGUCUCCUCGAUCAUCUCUACUGCACCUAAGAUUUCCCUCUCUCAGUUUCAAUAUCCAAAUCUCCUCAUCUCUAUUACACCUGAGAUCUGCCUCUCUCCAUUCCUCUCUCAAUUUCUACAUCUCACUCACUCCAGAUCUCAUCAGAAGAGAGACGUCGGGUAUGGGAGACAGGUAUGUGGGCACAAGACGGCGUCUGGAUCCGAAGGCUGGAGAAGCAAAGAGAAGCUGAGAUAGGUUUCCGAACCCGACCUCAGAUCUUCGGCCAUUGCCUCACUCGUGGAAGCCACAUGUCUAAUUAGGGUUUCGGGAACCCUGAGGAAUUGGGGAUUGUAGGGUUUGGGAGGAGGGGUCGAGGGUGUAGAAGAUAAGGUCACCGGAGGUGAUACAGAGGGAGGCGAGGGAGUCGUCGAGAGAAGAGGCGUGGAGGUCAUCGCGGCGGAGAGGGAUUGUUUGAGGUGGUGGAGAGAGCAGAGAUUCGGGACCUCGAUUCAAAGGGUCUGUUUGGACUCAAUAGCGGGGCAGUUAUCAUAUAUCUUUCAGAUUCUGUGUAAUUUGAAUUGGGUUUCUGGUUUUCUUGGUUGUAAUUUAAACAUCUCUUCUUGGAUCUGCCAAGAUUCCUCUACAUGUUGCAUUGCUUUUAGUUUCUUUUAGGUAGAUGUUUCUGUUAUAUCUGGGUGUUGUUCUGUGCAUAUUGUUGUAAUGGGUCCCUUUUCUGGUUCUUGCGCGAGGCAUUGUGUUUUGUGAGUUUUGUUCUGUGAAACCCAAUAAGGUUUCAAUUGUUGUGAACUGGAGAGAUUGGAGAAAAAGACCCCAAAAGAGGAGAUUGUGUGGAAGUUGUGAUCUGUGAUUGAAAGGACAGUUCUUGUGAGCUUUGAGAAGAUCAGAAAUUAGUAGGUAAUUUGAUUUUGUACUAGGUGUGUUUGGAAUUAUAUGAAUGCGGAGAGUGGUCUAUUCUCUUAUGGUUUGUGAGGCUGGAAAAAGCUGCAACUGACCUGUUGGCUUUGCAUUUUGUUCAAGUCCUUCAGGAGAAAGGAACAAAAAGAAGGAUAAGUUACAUUUUGUUAUACUUGAGCUGGAUGUUGGUGUCAGCUUGUGUAACAAAGGUCAGUGAGGUGUCUUAAUUUUACAGCUUCUCAAUUUUGUAUAUCUGGAGAAUGGAUAAGACCAUUUACAAUUGCCUGAAAUCACUGAAAUUGGUUUCAGAGGGUGUAGAGUUGUGGCAGUGAAAGAUUGUGUAUUGUGUACUCAAAGCUUGUUUCCAACAUUUACUGAAGGGCCUUGGAUUUGAAUUAUGGGGAAUCUGAUUUGCUUGAAGAAAAUUGAGUAGAUGUUUGGAAAAAGUUGGGAGUGAAAAUAACUGAUUUGGACAGAAGAGGUGGAGAUGGCUGCAAAACUUCUGCAUUCUUUAGCUGAUGACAACCCAGAUUUGCAGAAGCAAAUAGGAUGCAUGAAUGGGAUUUUCCAAAUUUUCGAUCGACACCAAGUCCUCACUGGUAGGAGGAUUAGCCACCACAAGAGGCUUCCUCCAGGGAAUUCGCACUAUAGCAAUGGUGGCCUGGAAAGAGAGUCCAACAAUCCAUACCAUCGGCAAGCAGUAACUGUGUGGGAUGCAACUGCAGCUGAUCCUAAAUUGCUGGUCUUUUUGAAAUCAUACAUGAAUUUCUUACACAUUGAAUCUGGGUAAACACGGUAUCGAGAAACAACCGUUUCAGCUCCCUGAUUUCAUUACUGCAACUGGUACUGAGAAAAUUAGACAGGUAAAUUGGUCAUGAGGUUUUUUAUUUGGAUUAUUCUUUGAACACCGCACAUAAGUGCUCCUCUUACUAUCAAUGAGAACUCUGACUCUUAUGUUUGUACCGGAUAGGUCCUGAGGGGGAAUCUGCAUUAUGGAGACUUGCCUGACACACAUUAAAUCAUCAAUGAGGAUCACCAUGGGGCACUCAUCCACCACCUCUCUUUAGUUCGCAACAAACGCUGAAGUUGAUGAACUGCGUAAUGAACUCGCAAAUUAUGAGGUGAAGAACCUGCUAAAGUUGGGAAGUGUGUUGGGAUGAAUCAUUGUUGGUCUUUUUUGGGUAUAUGAAAGGUCUGAAGUGCAUUAGGCAAGAUGUUGGUCCUUUUUGGGUUGGCCUGAAUUGCAUUUCUUCUAUAGAUGUGAUUAUGUACAGAUGAGACUAUUUUAGUCACAUUUGUAGAUGUUUUUUUUGUAUGAGAGACCCGUAGGUGUGAUCUUUUCUAUUUUUUGGAUACAAUUAUCAUUAUCGGAUCCAUUUAUGGGAUUAUAACAACUAUUUAUUAUAAGAAAAUUAUUGAUCAUUUGGUCAA